UACGUAGGGUGCGAGCGUUGUCCGGAAUUAUUGGGCGUAAAGAGCUCGUAGGCGGCUUGUCGCGUCGGAUGUGAAAGCCCGGGGCUUAACUCCGGGUCUGCAUUCGAUACGGGCAGGCUAGAGUUCGGUAGGGGAGAUCGGAAUUCCUGGUGUAGCGGUGAAAUGCGCAGAUAUCAGGAGGAACACCGGUGGCGAAGGCGGAUCUCUGGGACGGUACUGACGCUGAGACGCGAAAGCGUGGGGAGCGAACAGG
rnacentral:rRNA from 1 species